AUUGAACGCUGGCGGCAUGCCUUACACAUGCAAGUCGAACGAGGGUAGCAAUACCUUAGUGGCGAACGGGUGAGUAAUAUAUCGGAACGUACCCUAGAGUGGGGGACAACCAGUCGAAAGACUGGCUAAUACCGCAUACGAUCUAUGGAUAAAAGUGGGGGACCUUCGGGCCUCAUGCUCCUGGAGCGGCCGAUAUCUGAUUAGCUAGUUGGUGGGGUAAAAGCCUACCAAGGCGUCGAUCAGUAGCUGGUCUGAGAGGACGAUCAGCCACACUGGGACUGAGACACGGCGCAGACUCCUACGGGAGGCAGCAGGGGGGAAUUUUGGACAAUGGGGGAAACCCUGAUCCAGCAAUGCCGCGUGAGUGAAGAAGGCCUUCGGGUUGUAAAGCUCCUUUGUCAGGGAAGAAAAGGCUAUGGCUAAUAUCCAUGGCUGAUGACGGUACCUGAAGAAUAAGCACCGGCUAACUACGUGCCAGCCGCCGCAGUAACAC
rnacentral:rRNA from 1 species